rnacentral:rRNA from 1 species
GGGUUGUGAGGUUAAGCGACUAAGCGUACACGGUGGAUGCCCUGGCAGUCAGAGGCGAUGAAGGACGUGCUAAUCUGCGAUAAGCGUCGGUGAGGUGAUAUGAACCGUUAUAACCGGCGAUUUCCGAAUGGGGAAACCCAGUGUGUUUCGACACACUAUCAUUAACUGAAUCCAUAGGUUAAUGAGGCGAACCGGGGGAACUGAAACAUCUAAGUACCCCGAGGAAAAGAAAUCAACCGAGAUUCCCCCAGUAGCGGCGAGCGAACGGGGAGCAGCCCAGAGCCUGAAUCAGUGUGUGUGUUAGUGGAAGCGUCUGGAAAGGCGUGCGAUACAGGGUGACAGCCCCGUACACAAAAAUGCACAUACUGUGAGCUCGAUGAGUAGGGCGGGACACGUGGUAUCCUGUCUGAAUAUGGGGGGACCAUCCUCCAAGGCUAAAUACUCCUGACUGACCGAUAGUGAACCAGUACCGUGAGGGAAAGGCGAAAAGAACCCCGGCGAGGGGAGUGAAAAAGAACCUGAAACCGUGUACGUACAAGCAGUGGGAGCCUCUUAAUGGGGUGACUGCGUACCUUUUGUAUAAUGGGUCAGCGACUUAUAUUCUGUAGCAAGGUUAACCGAAUAGGGGAGCCGAAGGGAAACCGAGUCUUAACUGGGCGUUAAGUUGCAGGGUAUAGACCCGAAACCCGGUGAUCUAGCCAUGGGCAGGUUGAAGGUUGGGUAACACUAACUGGAGGACCGAACCGACUAAUGUUGAAAAAUUAGCGGAUGACUUGUGGCUGGGGGUGAAAGGCCAAUCAAACCGGGAGAUAGCUGGUUCUCCCCGAAAGCUAUUUAGGUAGCGCCUCGUGAAUUCAUCUCCGGGGGUAGAGCACUGUUUCGGCAAGGGGGUCAUCCCGACUUACCAACCCGAUGCAAACUGCGAAUACCGGAGAAUGUUAUCACGGGAGACACACGGCGGGUGCUAACGUCCGUCGUGAAGAGGGAAACAACCCAGACCGCCAGCUAAGGUCCCAAAGUCAUGGUUAAGUGGGAAACGAUGUGGGAAGGCCCAGACAGCCAGGAUGUUGGCUUAGAAGCAGCCAUCAUUUAAAGAAAGCGUAAUAGCUCACUGGUCGAGUCGGCCUGCGCGGAAGAUGUAACGGGGCUAAACCAUGCACCGAAGCUGCGGCAGCGACACUAUGUGUUGUUGGGUAGGGGAGCGUUCUGUAAGCCUGCGAAGGUGUACUGUGAGGUAUGCUGGAGGUAUCAGAAGUGCGAAUGCUGACAUAAGUAACGAUAAAGCGGGUGAAAAGCCCGCUCGCCGGAAGACCAAGGGUUCCUGUCCAACGUUAAUCGGGGCAGGGUGAGUCGACCCCUAAGGCGAGGCCGAAAGGCGUAGUCGAUGGGAAACAGGUUAAUAUUCCUGUACUUGGUGUUACUGCGAAGGGGGGACGGAGAAGGCUAUGUUGGCCGGGCGACGGUUGUCCCGGUUUAAGCGUGUAGGCUGGUUUUCCAGGCAAAUCCGGAAAAUCAAGGCUGAGGCGUGAUGACGAGGCACUACGGUGCUGAAGCAACAAAUGCCCUGCUUCCAGGAAAAGCCUCUAAGCAUCAGGUAACAUCAAAUCGUACCCCAAACCGACACAGGUGGUCAGGUAGAGAAUACCAAGGCGCUUGAGAGAACUCGGGUGAAGGAACUAGGCAAAAUGGUGCCGUAACUUCGGGAGAAGGCACGCUGAUAUGUAGGUGAAGUCCCUCGCGGAUGGAGCUGAAAUCAGUCGAAGAUACCAGCUGGCUGCAACUGUUUAUUAAAAACACAGCACUGUGCAAACACGAAAGUGGACGUAUACGGUGUGACGCCUGCCCGGUGCCGGAAGGUUAAUUGAUGGGGUUAGCGGUAACGCGAAGCUCUUGAUCGAAGCCCCGGUAAACGGCGGCCGUAACUAUAACGGUCCUAAGGUAGCGAAAUUCCUUGUCGGGUAAGUUCCGACCUGCACGAAUGGCGUAAUGAUGGCCAGGCUGUCUCCACCCGAGACUCAGUGAAAUUGAACUCGCUGUGAAGAUGCAGUGUACCCGCGGCAAGACGGAAAGACCCCGUGAACCUUUACUAUAGCUUGACACUGAACAUUGAGCCUUGAUGUGUAGGAUAGGUGGGAGGCUUUGAAGUGUGGACGCCAGUCUGCAUGGAGCCGGCCUUGAAAUACCACCCUUUAAUGUUUGAUGUUCUAACGUUGGCCCCUGAUCGGGGUUGCGGACAGUGUCUGGUGGGUAGUUUGACUGGGGCGGUCUCCUCCUAAAGAGUAACGGAGGAGCACGAAGGUUGGCUAAUCCUGGUCGGACAUCAGGAGGUUAGUGCAAUGGCAUAAGCCAGCUUGACUGCGAGCGUGACGGCGCGAGCAGGUGCGAAAGCAGGUCAUAGUGAUCCGGUGGUUCUGAAUGGAAGGGCCAUCGCUCAACGGAUAAAAGGUACUCCGGGGAUAACAGGCUGAUACCGCCCAAGAGUUCAUAUCGACGGCGGUGUUUGGCACCUCGAUGUCGGCUCAUCACAUCCUGGGGCUGAAGUAGGUCCCAAGGGUAUGGCUGUUCGCCAUUUAAAGUGGUACGCGAGCUGGGUUUAGAACGUCGUGAGACAGUUCGGUCCCUAUCUGCCGUGGGCGCUGGAGAACUGAGGGGGGCUGCUCCUAGUACGAGAGGACCGGAGUGGACGCAUCACUGGUGUUCGGGUUGUCAUGCCAAUGGCACUGCCCGGUAGCUAAAUGCGGAAGAGAUAAGUGCUGAAAGCAUCUAAGCACGAAACUUGCCCCGAGAUGAGUUCUCCCUGACUCUUUAAGGGUCCUGAAGGAACGUUGAAGACGACGACGUUGAUAGGCCGGGUGUGUAAGCGCAGCGAUGCGUUGAGCUAACCGGUACUAAUGAACCGUGAGGCUUAACCUUACAACGCCGAAG